ACUGGUGUGGUGGUGCACACCUGUAGUCCCAGCUACUCAGGAGGCUGAGGUGGGAGGAUCACUUGAGUCCAGGAGGUCAAGGCUGCAGUGAGCCUAUGAUUGUGACACUGCACUCCAGCCUGGGCAACAAAGUGAGACCCUGCCUCAU
ensembl:misc_RNA Metazoa_SRP Metazoan signal recognition particle RNA